rnacentral:rRNA from 1 species
GACGAACGCUGGCGGCGUGCUUAACACAUGCAAGUCGAACGGAAAGGCCCUGCUUUUGCGGGGUGCUCGAGUGGCGAACGGGUGAGUAACACGUGAGUAACCUGCCCUUGGCUUUGGGAUAACUUCAGGAAACUGGGGCUAAUACCGGAUAGGAGCUCCUGCUGCAUGGUGGGGGUUGGAAAGUUUCGGCGGUUGGGAAUGGACUCGCGGCUUAUCAGCUUGUUGGUGGGGUAGUGGCUUACCAAGGCUUUGACGGGUAGCCGGCCUGAGAGGGUGACCGGCCACAUUGGGACUGAGAUACGGCCCAGACUCCUACGGGAGGCAGCAGUGGGGAAUAUUGCACAAUGGGCGGAAGCCUGAUGCAGCAACGCCGCGUGCGGGAUGACGGCCUUCGGGUUGUAAACCGCUUUCGCCUGUGACGAAGCGUGAGUGACGGUAAUGGGUAAAGAAGCACCGGCUAACUACGUG